UUGACACACAUCUGUUCUCAUCUGUCAGUGUGCACUGUGACGCCGUUAAUUAAUUGAAUUAGCAAAUAACAUGAUUAGUUUACUCUCUCUCUCCCUAUCCGGCGAUGCAAUUCAAUUCUAGUAAAUUUCACAGAUUGUCACAACUGAUACUGCGAUGUAAUUUCAACACAUUCUGUCUGUAUUGAUUACAUGAUAUUUCAAACACACAACGGGACUUGAAGUGCACGGCAAUAAAUACAAUUCAAUUCACGUACAAGUUCAUGCCCAGCUGGUAAACAAAAACAGGUCUGUCCUUUUUUGUGUGGCGAGAGAUGGAAAGGGAAAAACGAAAUCGUCUGCCUAAUUACGUCUCAAUAUAAAAUAUUUAUCAAAUACUUUCAUAUUGAUUAUAUUUAGUUGGCGUAUGUAAGAUAUCGAGAAUGUGCAUACGAAGUGAUUCCGUAACAGAUAAUUGAAGGUUAUUAACUCGAUUGAGGAAGUGACAAAUUGGAAAGGUUGGAAGUUGUUUUUUUACAAUAUACUUGAGAUGUGAAUGAUUUAUUUUAUAUUGAGAAUUGUGUGGAAAUAUAAAAAUACCGGUAAAAAACCCAGGAAUUUACGGGAA